UGGAACAAUGAUAGGAACAUCUUUAAGUUUGAUAUACCAAUCAGGGUACUCGAGCUUGAGUGGACAAUGAUUCCGAGAAACAUGAGAGGCUUUAGACUUGUGAUGAUGAUGUCAUUAAUGUUUUCUCUUAGCGAACUUUGGUUCACUGAUCAAACCGUUAGAACUAAACAACUGUGCCAUUUCAUCAAAGUGUAAUUACCCUCAAAAAUACAAUUUCUGCGAUUGCUUAUCACCUAGACACCUAAAUUACAACCGACUAAACUAUUAUUGUUUUCAUUUGUAAGGAUUUUGAUAAUGAUAAGAGUCGAAACGUUCGAACAUUUAAUUCAAUUUGAACCCGGGUAAUCUAAUCUUUCAAUUUUUGCCCGUAUUACCUGUUUGUGCGAUCGAUUGAUUCAAAUUACUUUGUGCUUUGUGCCGCCUUCAUUAAUGCGUUAAUAAACAGCUUAAGAGGCUCUGACCGACAGCCCAACCUAAUCGACUCACUCAUUAGGGCCAACAGGCUACUUUAUCUAAUUAAAAUUUUCCUUGCAGAAAAUAAUGAGCGGUUCUAACGAGAGCUUUGCGGAUUUUCUCGAUCCCAGUUUUUGUGGACGGAAUAUCUCAACACCUGGUUCGUGUCCAGAAAUUUUUGACAAAAUUCUUUGUUGGCCUGAAACUCCACCUGGAAUCACUGCGAAUCAAUCCUGUCCAAACUAUGAUAAGGAUUUACAGGCUACGCAUUUGGCCUAUAAAGAGUGUUUGCCAAAUGGAACUUGGUAUGUGAAUGAAGAGAAUAUUACCUGGACGAAUUAUCAGUUUUGUACCGUUUCGUCUGACGCUGAUUUGGAGUUCUACAAAUUUAUCAAUUUCCUAUACAGUGUGGGAUACACGAUAUCCUCAAUUGCCCUACUAGUGUCUCUAGUUAUUUUUUUCUCAUUUAGAUCGUUGCGGUGUACGCGAAUACGAAUCCACGUCCAACUAUUUAUAUCAUUUCUAUUUUAUAAUAUAUUGGCCAUUAUAUGGUAUGCAGAAGUGGUUAUUAAAGUUGAUGUGACGAAUGGAAAUCCGGUUUGGUGUUUGUUUCUUUACAUAGCUAGAGAGUACUUUAUGGUGGCAAACUACAUAUGGAUGUUUUGCGAAGCUCUUCACCUUCACAUCGCUUUGGUUGUUGUCUUUGUGGCCGAAGAAAAAAUCAUGAAAUGGUUUUACGGCUUCGGUUGGGGUGUUCCAUCGGUAAUUGUUUUGGUCCAUAAUCUCGUUCGAGUUUAUUAUAGCGGCGAUGUUGGACGAUGUUUUAUGGAGGAAGUGACUUUCAGCACGUGGUUUAUUAUCGUGCCUAUCACAAUCACAUUAGCGAUAUCAAUGGGUUUCUUGAUCAAUAUCCUCAGGGUGAUCCUGACAAUUAUGCACCCCAGUUCUCCAAAUCCUGCUCCAGACAGCGUAAGAAAGGCGGUUAGAGCCGCUCUAAUUUUGACGCCUCUAUUUGGAUUGCAAUUUAUCUUUAUCCCGGUUAAACCAGAUGCGCAACAUCCACUUUACACGGUCCAUCAGUACAUCAGCAUGGUUAUUGGUUCGUAUCAGUUUUUUAGGGUUUGUGCUGUGCAAUCUUAUAUUGUUUCGCAAAUCAUGAAGUGCACCAAGCGAUCAAGAGAAGCUUUCAACGGAAAAUCAACUUUUACAACACCAGAUCGACUGCGGAUAGUGGAGCUGCUGGUGCCAUGAAUGGACACGUUCAGAAUGGAAAUGCGAUCCCUUUGCUCUCUAUGCAUAGAAAUUCGACGCCAAACACUCUCAAGGUAUAAAAAAUUUGAGACGAAAAUCUGCUAUUCCAUUUUCUACUGAGCUUUGAAGUUGAUCCAAUCGCCACAUUAAGAUUCCUGAGUUGCAGAUUCCAAUCUAAUGUUUAGAUUCCGGUGCGAGUGCAGAAGAAAACCAGAUUCAGUGCGGCUUAACUAAAAGCCAAGUGAAACAAUGUUGCGAAAUAAAUAUUUUUCAUUUUUUGUAA
rnacentral:misc_RNA from 1 species